UCAAUAAAAAAAUAUAAAAAAUAAUAAAGUAGUAAUAACAGCAACAGCAAUAACAGUGAGCUACUAUGUAAGAGCUUUACCUAUAUAAUCUCAUUUAUUUAUUCCUUACACUAUUCCCAGGACCAAGGGUUUAUUACUGUCUCCAUUUUAAGAUGAGGAAACCGAGGGUCACAGGAAGAGGGGCUUGCUUAUGGUCACACAGUGAUGGAUGGAAUUGGGCUGAGACCUGGAGCGAUUCCAGAGCCCAGGCCUUGACCACAGCAUGGCACUGCCUCCAGCUCUGCUGUGCUCGGAGUGGGUUUAAGGCCAUUUCAGGACAGACAUCAUCUGAAGACAAGUGCAACAAACUCUGUCAGACUUUGACUUUUCCAGUACGCGAGUCAAAAGGGGAAAAUGCUGACUUAGGUACCUUUGCUCUCCUGAUCCACAGCACAGACUUGUUUGUUUAGAGCAGUGUUUUCUAGGAUGUUCUUGACAACUGGAACAGGCUCUGACCCUUCCUUGGCCCAGCGGCAGAUGCAGUGGGAGAGCUGUGGUUCUAUAAGAAUCUAGGAAUCUUGUGGGUUCUGAAGCAGCUUCCAUGGUAGCCAAAGGACAGCUGCUUGGAAAAACUGGGUGCUCUCAUUUUGGGGGUCUCUGUGUGGCAGAUGCUUCAACUUCUCAACACUCUACCUCCAGAUAGCUAUUGAGGCUCCAUAAUGUUUUCCUGUGCACAGAAGUCAUGUGGAUGGAACCCUGGUUUGCCGGUUCUGCGACAAUUGGUCUUGGCAGGAGGUCUCAGGACAAACUUGGCCUCACCCCCCUGACCUUUAGGACUCAUGCCCCUGACACACCUGCUGUGAAAUGCGGAGGGCUUCCUUCCCCUCCUCUUUUUCUUUUUUUUUUGAGGGAAAGUUCCAUUUGUGUUUUGGAAAGAGCACAGACUCAGUCUCCCAGCAUGUCCAUUCUGUCCCAGCACUGUGUUUCCCUGGAUAAAUGAACUCACCUCUUCAUACCUCAGUCUUAUUUUCUGUGAAGUGGGGAUGCCAUUACUUUCUACAGAAUUAUUGUCCACAUUUAAUGACAUAACAGAAAAAGCACUUGUACGUAGCAGGCAUUGAAUAAAUGUUAUUAUUUUG